CGACCCCAGGUCAGGCGGGGCCACCCGCCGAGCUUAAGCAUAUCACUAAGCGGAGGAGAGGAAACUUACGAGGAUUCCCCUAGUAACGGCGAGCGAACCGGGACCAGCCCAGCUUGAGAAUCGGGGGGCCAUGCCUCCCGAAUUGUAGUCUGGAGAAGCGCCCUCAGCGAUGGACCGGGCUCGAGUCCCCUGGAAAGGGGCGCCCGGGAGGGUGAGAGCCCCGUCCGGCCCGGACCCUGCCGCACCACGAGGUGCUGUCGAUGAGUCGGGUUGUUUGAGAAUGCAGCCCUAAUCGGGCGGUAAAUUUCGUCCAAGGCUAAAUAUGGGCGAGAGACCGAUAGCGAACAAGUACCGCGAGGGAAAGAUGAAAAGGACUUUGAAAAGAGAGUCAAAGAGUGCUUGAAAUUGCCGGGAGGGAAGCGGAUGGGGGCCGGCGAUGCACCUCGGUCGGAUGCGGAAUGGCGAUGAGCCGGUCCGUCGCUCGGCUCGGGAUGCAGAUCGUUGCAGGCUGCGCUGGCGGUCGAAUCCCUGGCGAUCGAACCCCGCCCAUGGAGACUCCGUCCGUGCGGUCGAGGAUUCGGUGCGCGCCGUCUCGACGUGCCCCACGGGGCACCGUCGUGCCCUGAGCAAUGGCCCGUGGGCUCCCCAUCCGACCCGUCUUGAAACACGGACCAAGGAGUCUGACAUGCGUGCGAGUCGACGGGCAGGCGAAACCCGGAUGGCGCAAGGAAGCUGACGGGCGGGAUCCCCACCUCCGUGUCGGGGGUGCACCGCCGGCCGACCCCGAUCUUCUGUGAAGGGUUCGAGUUGGAGCAUGCCUGUCGGGACCCGAAAGAUGGUGAACUAUGCCUGAGCGAGGCGAAGCCAGAGGAAACUCUGGUGGAGGCCCGAAGCGAUACUGACGUGCAAAUCGUUCGUCUGACUUGGGUAUAGGGGCGAAAGACUAAUCGAACCAUCUAGUAGCUGGUUCCCUCCGAAGUUUCCCUCAGGAUAGC
rnacentral:rRNA from 1 species